rnacentral:rRNA from 1 species
UGAUCCCAUCCCGAACUCAGCCGUGAAACAGACCAGCGCCGAUGGUAGUGUGGCUUCUGCCCAUGUGAGAGUAGGUCAUCGUCAGGC